AGGUGUGAGCCACUGUGCCCAGCCUGAAAUUCCUUAUUUUAUCUUUAAAAAAUCAUGUAAGUUUGCAUCCUUCUCUUUAAUGUGUGGGGAUUUCCCUCCCCUUUCUUAAAAACAUCUUCCCCUCUCAGUAUUCUACCUGAGUGGAUGUUCCAAGAAGAUACACCCAGGUUAUGUCCCAAGGCUGUGGACAUCUCAUGCCCCAUGGUGACCUCUAGGCCCUUCAAGCCCCAGGCCCCGGGCCACCUGGUCUGGCUGGGGAGAAGUUCAGGGAUGGUUGAGGUUGAUGGUUGAGGGCCUGCCAGCUGUCACGGCCUGGGGCUGGCCCCAUCUCUGCUCUGAACUCUGCUGCCUCUCCCUCUCGUCUUGGCUCCCAGACGUUUGUCCAUGCAGCUCCAACUGUCCCACUAGGAGUUCUCAGGACACCUCACCCCACCCUUUGUCCACUGAGGGUCCUUGUUUCAGAGGGGGCACUGCCUGUCUUCUGUCUUCAUCCUUCUCUGCUGGGCAGCCUGACUACAUGACCCAGGGCUUUCUGUGCCAAUUAAGAGGAAACUGAGGCCAAGUGGAGAGGUGCCAGCCUGGGGAGUGCAGUGAGGAGGGCUGUUGGGUGUCCAGGGGCGGGUGUCUCUGGGUAGAUGGGGGUACCUAGGCCUGAAGAGAGAUCUGGGCACUGGCCAGGGAGGCAGGAGGAAGGAGGGAAGGCCGCGGGGCACCCGGGGGCUGCUGCCUGGCAGGUCCCCGUGCCCAGGCAAGGGAAGUUUCUUAUUUCUCCUGCUCCGACUUCCCCCUUUGAUUUAUUAUAGCCAUGAAAUGCUCUGCUCUCUUCUCUUUUCCUUGCUGUCCCCGGGGCUGGAGGAGCACGGGCCUCCCCGGGAGCGGGCCUCGGCCUCCCUGGACUCCCGUCUCCUUCCGAGGGCUGGGCCUGGGGAACCAGAAGCAAGAGUCCCUAGAGCUUCCAAUAUUUUUGGUUUCAAACCAGUUUCCUGGUGACCAGAAUGAAAGGGAGCCACAUUCCAGCACAAUGCACCUGGUGACCUCCUGCAAAUCCAGGACCUUCUCCGCCCCUCUUUUGCUCCGCUGCAGAAGGGGGAAGCUGGGAAUGUGCUGCUCUGGGGUCCCGCCACCUCCAGCCAGCCACUGUCCCUGUCUUCCCAAAACCUCCUCGUUGUCCCUCCUCUGUCCUCCUCCUCCAUCCUCGCCCUGCUCUCCUCUUUUUUGCCUGAGGUUCACGCUGCCUCCUCACCUCUUGUCCAGUUUCUCCCUUCUCUCUGCUCCCUCCUUUUAUCUUGUUAUUUUGCUUCUCUUUCCUUUCCUCUCUUUUCCCCCUCCCCUUCCUCCCUGCUCCCUGCCUCAGCUUCUCCGUCUCUCCGUUCUUCCUCUAGCUUCCUUCCCUCUCCAGAAGACCCAGCCCUUCCUAGAGCCCCAGCAGCCAGGGUUCAUGCCCCAGCUCUCUACCGCACAUGCUGUGCAACCCUGGGCCAGUCACUCAUCUCUUGGGCCUCAGUUGAAUGGAUGGCUCUCUUGGUGAUGUGAGAUCAUAGGGUGGAAGCACCCAGCAUGGUGCCAAGCACUCAAAACUUUUUUUCUUUUCCUUUUUAAGGAACUACUAACUGUGAGGUUGUGGAUUACCAAACCCUUCCUGUUCUUGGAAUCUGGGUCCUCCUAUUCCCAAGAAUUUGAAUUACCACGGGUCCCUGGGGAUGUAAGGGGAUGAGGCUUCUGGUGUCCUUGGGGAGGGGGAGGAGCGGGAAGAGGAGCUGGGAGGACACUCUAGCAUUGCCCAGAGGGCAGAGGACAUUCUGCCUAUUUCCAGAGGUUAUUGACUCUGGAUCUCUUUUAUGGACUUCCUCACCCAGGCCCCUUGAGCUUGGCCAUACUUGAUGCAAUGGGAUAUCUUCCUUCUUCUGGAGCCCCUUGAAUCUUAGGCCUUGGGAACAUGUAGCCUACCUGGUUUCUUGGCUGUACCCACGGAGGAGAGCCCCAUACUCCCUACUUAAAACCAGCAAAGGCUCCACAGCCAUCCCUGUACAUGACUCAGGCUCCUUGGCUUGGCACUCAAGGCUCUUUGCCUUCCUGUCCUGCUUUGCUUCCAGCUGCAAGGACGGUGGCUCCCUGUUUUCCUGUUCUUUUCCUUUGCUUAAGUUGAUUCUCGGCCAGACAUGCCUUCCCCUCACACGCUUCCCUAAGCCAUCCUAUCUGGGACGCUGACCCCAUCAAUCAUUCCCAAAUGCACCUUUGAGACCGAGUGUACCUGGCACCUCCCCUCUUGCCCCACUAUCUGCUCACAUGACCCUCUGCAGGCCUGUAAGCAGCUGGAGGCUCCGAGGAUGCCUCAUUCAUGUCUGUCCUCCUUACUAGGCCCAGACCUAUAAUCCCAACAUUUGGGAAGGCUGAGGCAGGCGGAUUGCUUGAGCCCAGGAGUUCAAGAUCAGUCUGGGCAACAUGGUGAAACCCUAUCUCUACAAAAAAUACAGAAAAUUAGACGAGACUACAGGUGGCACACACCCGUAGUCCCAGCCACUCUGGAGGCUGGGGCGGGAGGAUCGCUUGAGCCCGGGAGGUCCAGGCUGCAGUGGGCCGAGAGCACGCCAUUGCACUCCAGCCUCAGUGAUAAAGCAACAUUCUGUUUCAAAAGAAAAAGAAUUGACUGGGCAUGGUGGCUCAUGUCUGUCACCCCAGCACUUUGGGAGGCCAAGGCAGGUGGAUCACCUGAGAUCAGGAGUUCGAGACUAGCCUGGCCAACGUGACGAAACUCUGCCUCUACUAAAAAUACAAUAAUUAGCUGGGCAUGGUGGCGGGCACCUGUAAUCCCACAUACUCGGGAGGCUGAGCCAGGAGAAUCACUUGAAUCCAGGAGGCGAAGUGAGCCGAGAUUGUGCCACUGCACUCCAGCCUGGGUGACAAGAGCGAAACUCAGUCUCAAAAGAACAAGAAAAAGAGAAAAGAAGAAAGAAAAAGAAUUAUCAUCUGAUCCAGCCAUCUCACUAAGUAUCUAACCAAAGGAAAAUAAAUCACUAUAUCAAAAA